rnacentral:rRNA from 1 species
UACGUAGGGACCAAGCGUUGUUCGGAUUUACUGGGCGUAAAGGGCGCGUAGGCGGCAUGACAAGUCACUUGUGAAAUCUCCGGGCUUAACUCGGAACGGCCAAGUGAUACUGUCAAGCUAGAGUGCAGAAAGGGCAAUCGGAAUUCUUGGUGUAGCGGUGAAAUGCGUAGAUAUCAGGAGGAACACCAAUUGCGAAGGCGGCUCGCUGGGACGUUACUGACGCUGAGACGCGAAAGCGUGGGGAGCAAACAGG